rnacentral:rRNA from 1 species
AGAGUUUGAUCCUGGCUCAGAUUGAACGCUGAGGCUUAACACAUGCAGUCGAACGGCAGCGCGGACUUCGGUCUGGCGGCGAGUGGCGAACGGGUGAGUAAUGUAUCGGAACGUACCUUUCAGUGGGGGAUAACGUAGCGAAAGUUACGCUAAUACCGCAUAUUCUGUGAGCAGGAAAGCAGGGGAUCGCAAGACCUUGCGCUGAUUGAGCGGCCGAUAUCAGAUUAGCUAGUUGGUGAGGUAAAGGCUCACCAAGGCGACGAUCUGUAGCGGGUCUGAGAGGAUGAUCCGCCACACUGGAACUGAGACACGGUCCAGACUCCUACGGGAGGCAGCAGUGGGGAAUUUUGGACAAUGGGGGCAACCCUGAUCCAGCCAUGCCGCGUGAGUGAAGAAGGCCUUCGGGUUGUAAAGCUCUUUCGGCCGGGAAGAAAUCGUACGGGUUAAUACCCUGUGCGGAUGACGGUACCGGCAUAAGAAGCACCGGCUAACUACGUGCCAGCAGCCGCGGUAAUACGUAGGGUGCGAGCGUUAAUCGGAAUUACUGGGCGUAAAGCGUGCGCAGGCGGUUUUGUAAGACAGGCGUGAAAUCCCCGGGCUCAACCUGGGAACUGCGCUUGUGACUGCAAGGCUAGAGUAUGGCAGAGGGGGGUGGAAUUCCACGUGUAGCAGUGAAAUGCGUAGAGAUGUGGAGGAACACCAAUGGCGAAGGCAGCCCCCUGGGCCAAUACUGACGCUCAUGCACGAAAGCGUGGGGUAGCAAACAGGAUUAGAUACCCUGGUAGUCCACGCCCUAAACGAUGUCAACUAGGUGUUGGGUGGGUAAAACCAUUUAGUACCGUAGCUAACGCGUGAAGUUGACCGCCUGGGGAGUACGGCCGCAAGGUUAAAACUCAAAGGAAUUGACGGGGACCCGCACAAGCGGUGGAUGAUGUGAUUAAUUCGAUGCAACGCGAAAA